rnacentral:rRNA from 1 species
AGGACGAACGCUGGCGGCGUGCUUAACACAUGCAAGUCGAGCGGAAAGGCCCUUCGGGGUACUCGAGCGGCGAACGGGUGAGUAACACGUGAGCAAUCUGCCCUUAGCUUCGGGAUAGCCCCGGGAAACCGGGAUUAAUACCGAAUAUGACCUCGGCCGACAUCGGCCUUGGUGGAAAGUUUUUCGGCUAGGGAUGAACUCGCGGCCUAUCAGCUUGUUGGUGGGGUAAUGGCCUACCAAGGCGACGACGGGUAGCCGGCCUGAGAGGGCGACCGGCCACACUGGGACUGAGACACGGCCCAGACUCCUACGGGAGGCAGCAGUGGGGAAUAUUGCGCAAUGGGCGAAAGCCUGACGCAGCGACGCCGCGUGGGGGAUGAAGGCCUUCGGGUUGUAAACCCCUUUCAGCAGGGACGAAGCGAGAGUGACGGUACCUGCAGAAGAAGCGCCGGCUAACUACGUCGCCAGCAGCCGC